AUGUAAUUCCAUACAAUGGACAUGAUUUUACUUUAAAUAUAUAAAAUUCCUCAUCAUUGAUAGAUGUUUUGAUUGAUGAAAAUUUAUUUUGAAUUUUAAAAUUUAUCAAAUCUGUUUAAUUUAAAAUUUUAUUUUGAUUUAUUUAAAAAUAUAAUUCCAUUUAUUUUAUAUUUUGUAAUUUUAAUUAAUUCAAUUUAUUUAUUUUUGAAAAACAAGGGUUCAACCAACACACCGUGUUUCUCCAUAGCGUGGUUCACCCAUCAUUUCUUCUCUACUCUCCUUUCUCAUUAUCGCAGAGAUAAACUCCCCCCUUUCUUCGAUUCUUCCUAACCUCCUCUGUCCUUGACUUUUUUAUUUUCUCUUUGUCUUGUUCUAUCGCUCUCUAUUUUGCUUUUAUUCAUCGAUUUCAUUAUUCCAUUUGUGGCUGCUAUCGAAGUUUGUUUCAAGUCUGUGAUAUUAGCUCGUGGGAUUUCUGCAAUUUUUCUCUGGGUGAUUCUGGAAAAGGGCUUAGCAGAGAUCGUGGGAUUGCAAGGUUAAAUGUGAUGAGGCAGUAGGUUUGUCACCAGAGACUGAUGCUUCUUUUGAUUUUUGAAUAAAAGCACUUUCCUGGCCGCAAGAUCUUAAGUCGAUUUAUCUAUCAAAUUAAUGGCAUAGAUUUCAAAAAUGGCUAUUAUAUCAAUUAAAAUUCAGAUUCUCAUUUGAUGUCUCUCAAAAUACUUCUGCAACAGCUAUUGUCUAUGUAAUGGUUAUUCCUAAAAAAUUUUGUUGUCAGCAUUAUAUUUGGUUUAUGGUGGUGCCGAUUAUGUGUUACAUGGCUUCUAUAAUGGUUUAAAUUGAACUGGGAAAGAAAAGUUUGUAAACUAAGCUCUGUUCUUCUGUAUUUUUCAUUCUAUCAUAACUGUCGUAGGCCUCCGGCUUGUCCACUUGGCUUUUGUAGGAACUGAGAGGUAGGAACUAGGAAUGGAGAAUGUUUUGACCUUGCACAAUUAUUCUGUCAUCUCUUCUGUGAGAGGAAUAUGAAAUAUCAAAAUGUUGUAUAUUUUA